CAGGCCUAACACAUGCAAGUCGAGCGAGAAAGUGACUUCGGUCACGAGUAAAGCGGCGAACGGGUGAGUACAACGUGGAUAAUCUACCCUAGGGUCUGGGACAACCCCGAGAAAUCGGAGCUAAUACCGGAUAAGACCGCAGUAUCCAAGGAUACAGUGGUAAAAGAUUUAUCGCCUUUGGAUGAGUCCACGUCCCAUCAGGUAGUUGGUAAGGUAAAAGCUUACCAAGCCUAAGACGGGUAGCCGGCCUUAGCGGGUGAACGGCCACAUGGGGACUGAGACACGGCCCUGACUCCUACGGGAGGCAGCAGUGGGGAAUAUUGGGCAAUGGGCGAAAGCCUGACCCAGCGAUGCCGCGUGAGGGAUGAAGGCCUUCGGGUUGUAAACCUCUGUCAGGAGGGACGAUGGGACACUUGUGUCUUGACGGUACCUCCAGAGGAAGCCCCGGCUAACUCCGUGCCAGCAGCCGCGGUAAUACGGAGGGGGCAAGCGUUGCUCGGAAUUACUGGGCGUAAAGGGUCCGCAGGCUGUCAGGCAAGUUGGUUGUGAAAGCUCAAGGCUUAACCUUGGA
rnacentral:rRNA from 1 species